UACGUAGGGGGCAAGCGUUGUCCGGAAUCAUUGGGCGUAAAGCGCGUGUAGGCGGCCAGGUAAGUCCGUUCUGAAAGCCCGGGGCUCAACCCCGGGAGGCGGAUGGAUACUGCUUGGCUCGAGUCCGGAAGAGGCGAGUGGAAUUCCCGGUGUAGCGGUGAAAUGCGCAGAUAUCAGGAGGAACACCGAUUGCGAAGGCAGCUCGCUGGAACGUUACUGACGCUGAGACGCGAAAGCGUGGGGAGCAAACAGG
rnacentral:rRNA from 1 species